CUCGGGAUGCCUGCCGUGGGCUUGUUCUCCUCUCGCAGCUAUUCAGAUCUUCCCGGGCGGAGGCAGCUCCCUGCCACGACGCGCCUGCAUUAAGCAGGUCUGUGCGGCGGCCCGAGGGCCGUGGAUGUCAGCGAUGCCGUAAGGAGCAGCCCGGGAGCGCCUCUGGCUCUGCCCGUGUCCCCAAGGUCCCCGCAGGGCUGGGGGACGCGGCACCCUGCUCUCGCUAUGCCCCUCUGCCGUCUAGCGCUGGAGUUGGCUGUCAGAGAAACCUUCGAGGUCCCCUGCUCAGCCCCGGUAGUGUCAUGAGUUAGAUUAGUUGGAGCUGUGCUGGGGGCGGUGAGGGCUUGGAUUACAGUCCAGAACUCAAAGUGCUUCGGUGGUUCACGUCGGAGGGGAGAGGAGACGCCCCGUCGCACACAUGGAGGAAAAAGAGAAAAAACGCCGUCUCUGGAAGUGAGGGGCAAUAAAGGAGGCCGGGAACAUGGACUCGGAGUCGCUGGACGGCUGCAUUCAGAGCACGUUAUCAACACUCUACCCUCCGUUUGAGGCUACCGCAGCCACUGUUCUGUGCCAAGUUUUUGAUGUGGUGGAGAAGACGUACCGUGGGGAUGGACUGCGCUACCUCAUAGACUUCCUGAUUCCAGCCAAGCACAUCCUGCAGUGCAUUCAGCAGGAUGCCUGUGCUCAGUACUGUGGGUUGCUGUUCCGCCACGCGGGCUGGCCCCUGUGUAUCCACGAGAAGAUUGUAAUCCAGCUGGCUUCCAUUGACUGGCGAGUCUUGGAGCCUGGUGACUUCUACCUGCAGGUGGUCCCCCAUGAGAAGAAGUCUCCACGAAUUGUAUUGAAAUGUUUGGCAAAAGACAAGCAUAAUGUAGAGGAAGUGGUGAUUCCAGAAGUUUCAUAUACCUCUAUUUUUACUCUGGAAUGGCUGAGUACGUUCAAUGGAGAGCGGAUGGGUAUAGCACUGGAAAAUUGUUUACUAACCACUGAUGAUAAAAUAUUUCGUAUCCCUUGGGAUAAAGUGGUUAAUCCUGAGUUUAUAAACAAACCAAAAAUAAUUGAAAACAGUAUCAUCUCUCCAGAAAUAACAGAGGAGCGUUCCAUUUUGUGCCUCCCCACUGAGCACAGUUCACCAGACCUGGGCUCUCAGUACCUACAGGAACAACAUACAAAUCGAGACAACCUGGUCAUUAGCAGCACAGCUCCACAGUUAAGUGGGGUUCUUGUCAAUGGUGUCUGUACCAGUCCUGUGCCUCAAGAGAACUUGACAAGUGACCUUGAAGGGGAGUACGUUGAGCUGGCAGAAGUUUCGCUGCCCAGGUUUGGGUCACAAACAGGCUCUUUAACCCAGUCGCUGGCUUUAAAUUAUCUAACUCAGCCCAGAGCACGAGUGAAUGAGUCUAAAGGCAAGCACAAGUUUCUUGUCAUACAAGACAGCACUUACUCCAAGAACUUAAUACAGUCAGCACUUAUGCAGAAGGAGCACUGUCAAAUGGACACUCUGAGCGCUCCUAGAGAAGUUCUCAAAAAUGUCAUUCCGUUAGAAAGCAGCAAAAUGAUGGCACAUGGAGAACUGUCUCCAGAAGGUCAGCUGAUAUCAGUUGGUCCUGGAAACAUGGGGAAUAAUUUUCCUGUGUCUGAGUCUCGUGCUUGCAGCACAGAAGGCUCACCUGCAGAGCAGGAGACGGGCAGUGAACACUCGCUGGAUUGGCGCUAUGCACUGUGCAGCUACAGCGACGCGUGUGCUGGAGAUGGUGUCGGCUGCAAAGCACAAACACCUGGUGCUCCAGGAAACACGGAGGGAGAAAGUGACGGACCCGGCAGAAAUGCUGCUGUUGAAACAUCUGAGCAGAGCCCAGAAACAAUUCUGAAUGCUACUGCUGCUGAAGAGGGUCAAAGUGAACCGACAGAGGUGGGCGCCUCUCCUGUGUCUGUCCCAGGGCCUUUGGGACCACGCUGCACACUGAAGGAAGGUUCUGAUGUCUCGUGCCACAAUGUCAGCGAAAGUGUUGUGCCAGUUCAGGCCACUGCAUUGCCAGAGAGUUCAGAUGUAUGUGUGGGGAGAGCCUCUCCUUCGGAGAACGUGGCAGAUGUAGGUUCUUGCUGCAACGAUACAGAAGCAAAUCUUAGUUCUCCAUUAAAUUCUCCAGAAAAGAAGCAAGGAGAAGUAGGUGAAUUUGAGGUGGGAAGAAGGGAUAGCCGAGAAGAAGUCAGAGAGAUUAAAGAGGUGUUGACAGCAAAUGAAAACCAAACUUGUCAUAGUCACUGUUCUGUCAAAGCUUCUACAGAUGGUGAAAAGCAAGAGCAUAAGGAGGCUGAAGAAUCCACGCUACUCCAAACUGCUCUGUCAGAGGGGGGUCAGAUGACAGAACAAUUAAAUAACAGUGACUCUUUGGGCCCUGAUCCACAAACAGAAGACUCAAGUCAAUUCAAAACCCAGAGUUCUGGAGAGAGGUCUGAGGAACCACAAAGACUGGUGGAAAACCAGGGCCAUGAAAGUGAAGAGAGCUCUGUGCUGAACACAGAGUGUGUUGCAGUGCAGGACUCGCCGGGAAGGGAGGAGAACCAGGGAAGUUUUUCUUGUGGGGAAAAGUCAAAGACUAUAGCCUCAAAAACACUGGAAUCCAUUGAAGAGGAACUGGAGGUUGGACCACUGUCCUCAGGACCUGCUGAGGGACAUACAGAGCCCAGUGCUCUGCAGUCCCACCCAGAGGCAGCUUCUGGGACAUCAUCUCCUAAAGGGAUGGUGUCAGAAGGGACAGAGCUGGGAAAAGAAGCAGCUGGCACAGAUGUGUUGAAACCAGUGAGUAAAGUCAGUGCCCUGGAGGAAACGUCGACACCAGUUACUCCCCCGACAUCCCCAACUUCUGGAACUGCCUGGGGUGGUCACUUUGCACCUACCAUAGUCAAGGAUGUGAACCCAGAAGUGCUCAGGAGUGGAGUUGCCUACCUGCCUGGUACGAGAGAUAAAUCGGGGCGUGCAGUGGCCAUAAUAACGACGAGGAACACGGCCUGGCUGAACCCCCACUGCAACACCACUGAGCUUGUGCGCCUGCUCCUGUACCUGCACAGCAUCCCCAGACCAGAGUGUCAGGCUUUGGGUCUGACUGUUCUUGUGGAUGCUCGUCGCUGUUCCCCGGUUCCUGCUCUCUUCAAGGCGUUCAGCAUAUUGCAGGACAUGGAUCCUCCUUGCAUUCAUGGGGUACUGCUUCUGGUUGAAAGAGAUCUGACUUUUCGGAUGGAGAAGCCACCAGCAAGACAGUUUGAACUCCUCACCUCCAUGAAAUCCCUCCAUAAGCACAUAGAGAGCUCACAGCUGCCUCUGGAACUGGAUGGGACCUUCCCCUACUGCCACCGGGACUGGCUGAGCUUCCGCAUGAAGCUGGAACACUUGCUACAGGGAUGCCAAGGUGCUUGUGCCUUCCUUCAGGGAGCUAUUCAUAAAGUGGAAUCUGGAAAAUUACCAGAAAAAGCUGAGGAUGCAGCUGUGCUGCUGAGGACCUACAGGCAGUUGAUGAAGAAUGUUCUUGAAGACACACGGCUGGUCAGGCUGCAGCUGGAGGGUGGAGCACUCCUGGCCAGGCUGAGGAAGGAGGAGUCUUGUGUCACCCUUACCCAUGACUACAGAGAUGCCCUGGAUGCUGCCAGCGUACUCUAUAAUCGAGUUGAUGAGGGCGUUCACCGACUGGUGAUGUUGUCAAACAAGCGCAUCCAGGAACUGGAGCUGGUGAUGGAGUUUGAGAAAGUGGAAGAGUGUUUUAAGGAGGUCAGCAGUUGGAUUGAGAAUGUUGGCAGAAAAGGGCUAAAGGAAACUGUCAACCUGGAUGAUUCUUUGGAGAUGCUGCUUCAAGCGCAAAAGCAGUUCAAGGAGUUUGAUCUUGUUGCCAGUGAAUACUGCAAAAGGGGACAGGAAGCAUUAAAGAAGAUGGAUCGAUGGGAAGACUUUUCCUCUGUGGAUGUGCAUUCUUACAGGGUAAAGCUGCAGACCUACAGAGAUCAGCUGGAGGAGUUCUGCACUGAGCUGGAUGAAACCAGGCACCGAAUCUGUGAAACGGUCAGGCUGUAUGAAUUCUUUGACAAGGCGUACGAGUGGGCCUUGGAAGGGAUGCGACACCUUGCCUGUGUCAGCAUGGAGGACUGCAGCUCCCCCGAGCACUGUGCAGAUGUGAUCAAGUGCCUGGAGAGUUACAAGGGGCAGCACCCCGACAUCAGCACUGCCCGCUUCCAGGAGAUGAAGGACUUGGCCUGUGAGCUGAAGAGUGACAAGGGGCUCAAGCAGUGGAAAUUUGCGUGGUCUAAAUGUCAGGAGACCAAGCUGGUUUUUGAAAAGAAACUCGAAGCAGCCUUGAGAACAAGAAAGUCUCUGCUGUCAGACCGCAGCCCAGCUGCCGGGGAGCAGCCCCAGGCUGGCAGCGAGGCUGGCAGUCUGUUCCACUGGAGGCACUCCGAGGGAGCCACCUCCAGGUCCCACUGGGACAGGACUUACAGCGCAUCCCACUGUUACAGCAAGUCCAACUGCUCUCUGGAGUGGACUAAGGAGAAAGUUCCCUCGCCCUCCCUGAGCUGCCCCGGUGAUGUCGGUGCUGGGGAAGAAGUUACCAGCCAAACUGCCCUCAGCCCUGGCCCUCACUCGAGCAGAGUUUUUUUUGCCAGCGGGGCCUGUAAGUCUCCAAAGCUGCCUGAAGAACAGCCAAACCUCGAGAGCAUAUCAGAAACCUCGGAGGUGAAGCCACCCUCUGCAUCCACUCCGGUCCCUGGGAAGCUGCCUCCCAGGAGGGUGCUCCGGAAGGCCCAAAGCUUUGACCUCCCUUGCGGGGAGAGCCUGUGGUCGAGCUGCCAGAGGAGCGAGCCGGUCAGGUACGGCAACACCGGCGUCUUCAUCAAGGGGCUGGAGGUGAGCAGCACCGAGCUGGUGGACAGGACGUUCGCGCUGCGGCAGCCGGCGGCUCACAGCUGGGCUGCAGACUGCCUGCUCGAGGGACACAGGGGCUGCCUCUCCGCCUCGGAAGCCAAGAGCUGGGGCAGCAAACUGCGGCACAUCAUCGACGAGAUGGUGACCACGGAGCGGGAAUACGUGAGGUCGCUCCGCUACAUCAUCGACAGCUACUUCCCAGAGAUGGAGCGCCUCGACCUCCCCCAGGACCUGCGCGGGAAGCGCAGCGUCAUCUUUGGCAACCUGGAGAAACUCUAUGACUUCCACAGCCAAUACUUCCUGCGGGAGCUGGAGAGCUGCUGUAACCACCCCCUGCGGGUCAGCCACUGCUUCCUGCGACACAAGGACCAGUUUGGAAUGUAUGCAUUGUAUAGUAAGAACAAGCCGAAGUCAGACUCGCUGUUGGCCAGCCACGGGAAUACCUUCUUCAAGUUGAAGCAGGUGCAGCUGGGGGAUAAGAUGGACCUGGCCUCCUACCUGCUGAAACCCAUCCAGCGGAUGAGCAAAUACGCCCUGCUCCUGAAGGACCUGAUCAAGGAGUGCAGCGAGGCUCAGGAGCAGGAGCUGGGCUAUCUCCGUGCGGCUGAGGAGAUGGUGAAGUUUCAGCUCCGACACGGAAAUGACCUGCUGGCCAUGGAUGCCAUCCGUGACUGUGACGUAAACCUGAAGGAGCAGGGGCAGCUGGUGCGUCAGGACGAGUUCACCAUCUGGCUGGGCCGUAGGAAGUGCCAGCGACACGUCUUCCUCUUUGAGGAUCUGAUCCUCUUCAGCAAGCCCAAGAAGAUCCAGGGUGGCUUUGAUGUGUAUAUCUACAAGUGCUCCUUCAAGACUGCAGACAUUGGUCUGACGGAGAACUCUGGAGACAGCGGCCUGCGCUUUGAGAUCUGGUUCCGGAGGCGGAAGUCCAGCGACACCUACAUCCUCCAGGCCAGCUCAGCUGAGACUAAGCAGGCCUGGACCAGUGACAUUGCCAAGAUCCUGUGGCAGCAGGCAGCCCGCAAUAAAGGUGUGAUUCCUCCCUGGGGCGUCUGUGCCGCAAAAGAAAUCCGUAUGCAGGAGAUGGUCUCCAUGGGUGUGGGUAACAAACCAUUCCUGGACAUCAAACCCAGUGAGGCAGCUAUCAAUGAUCGUGCUAUCGAUUACAUCAUGAAAGGCAGAGGUGCCAGGACCAGAGCAUCGAUCGCAGUGUCUCAGUUUGACCAUUCCAACCCAUUCAAGAGGACGCAAGCGCAGCUCUCUGCUGGCAGCACCCACACUGCAUACAACCCUUCCUCCUCCUCUUCCCUGCUGGGCCCCCUCAACCUCCACAUGUAUGUGAACCAGGCUCUGCUACCAGAAGUCCUGCCCCCCAGAUGCCCCUUUGACAUCGGCACCUGCAUUGAGGAGGAUGAGCUGGAGCACGAGACGAGCAGCCAACCAUCCCUGACAACAGAGAGCUCAGAGUCAUCGCACUGCAUGUCAGCCACUGGCUCCAGCGGCUCCGACAGCGGCUGUGUCUCCAACGUCCCACAAGAGAGCUUCUGUGAAGACAUGGGCUCGCCCCCCUACGUGCCCAUAGGCCCACAGCACAGCUCUGCAGUGGAGGGGAGACCCAGGUUCACAAACAGCCAGUACAUUUCUGCAGUAAGUGCAAGCAGCCAAAACACUGUCUUCACUUUGCCUGUUCCUGCAACUGCCUCCCCGGUUCCAACCACUGCCUCUCACGGGGGCACCGAAGAUGCUGCUUUUGGGCUCGGGGUCACUGUGGGGAAGUGACAUUUCCCCUUGCAGAGACUUGGCUCCUCUGGGGCAGGCAAGAGCCCCCCUGGUGCGGGAGCCACCCCUGCGGUGGCCAAGAUCCCCGAGGAGAUGAGCUGGAAAGGACCUGCAGUGCUGGAGGCUGCACAAGGAGGGGAUGCUGCACAAACAGGAACUAUAAUGCUGUCACGGGCUGGGGUACAUGUUAGCUCCUGGGAUGGCUGGAGCUCUGCUGCAGAUGCUGCCAAGCUCCUUUCCUGGGAGGUUUGGGCCUUUUUUGGGGAGCAGUGAGAUGGAGGAGCAGGAGCCUGUUGCUCUGAGAUGUCAGUGUGUCUCCUCUUACGUUCUUGAGAGUUCUCAGCUGCUUGCCUUCCCACUAGAUCCUGUCCUGAUGCUGUUGUCCUCUAACCCUGUACUAAUGCUGGCUUCUCUCCUCUGCAGAAAGCAGGCCAGGUCACCAAAAGUCACUCGAGAAUAGUGUGAGCCCCUCGGCCCCGCCUCAGGAAGUGGAGUUGUUGUUUGAUUGCCAUUUCAAACUCCCUGAAGACCCCAGGCCUCUGACCAGCAGAAGGAGACAGUCUUCACCCAUGAAGAUUUUUUUUGGCCCUUACUCAGGCUCUUUCAAACAGCCCAAAACCUGACCUCUGCCUGGGGGGAAGUCCCAAGAAGGUUUCUGUCAACUACACUUAAUAGCUUUGGUGUUGGAUGGGACCUUGGGCAUUCAAAACUUGUUGCCCCUAUAUUUAUGAGUAAUAAGUAACAUAACAGUUUGGAGAAAAAAAAAAUGUAUUAUUUUUAAAGCUAAGAGCUGUACAGAUUUUUGUUACAAGUGACUCUGUUACUAUUUGUUGUGUAAGCUGCACAUUUUAUAAAGUUUUUGGAAGGGCAUGAAAUGAAACUGAGGUAUUUAAGAAAAGUAGUGUAACUUUCUAUUUCAGGGUUAUAUUGACCUGGACUCAAGAUGUAACGUCCUUCCUUAUGUUCUAAAUAUGUCUAUUAUAGCAAUAAUUUAUUUUCUUGGCUUAACACUUCUGUUUUAAUAAAAGCAGUUUCGUUGUUGUAGUGAAUUGUUUCUUCAGAUGUUUCUUCCAGUGCCUCAGUGCUGAGCUAAUCUCUGUCAUAACCAUCUCACAGCUCUGCCACUCUCCCUGUGCCAUCUCUGCACUAACCAACUGCCAGCUGAACCUCGAAAUCCUCAGCACAGCUGCCAGAAAACGGGAAGAUUUCCCAGGUAGAGACUCCCCUGAUGCAGUGGGAGGCCAAGACAGGCUGAGGAGUUUGGAGCAGCCAGCAGGGGAAGAGGUUCUGGUGGAGAUCCAGAGGCACAGGCCACCAAAGUUCCUUGCUCUGAUUCAAGCCACUUGGCCCUUGUAGCUGCUGUCCCAGUGCAAGUCUCUCUCUCCCUGCUGGGCCAGGUCCCAGAGGCUCUGUUCAGGCUCUGUUGUGCCUUGUCCUGGCUGAGCCCCUGGUUUUGGGGUGACUGGCUGCUUACUUCACUUCUGACUCAGCCCCUCUCCUGGUACUUCAGUCGCACGGUCGUGGCUUGUUUGAGGAGCUUUGGAUGGUGCUGGCAUCCAAGGCCAACAGGUUUGGAGUGGAAAGUGUUGAUUAUAAUGCUGAACCUUAAAUGCAUGUUGUUUGAAGUAACACAGCAGAACUGGAGGAUAAACGUGCCCUGUGUUCCAGGGUGGCUUAGUCACGAGUAACACCCAACUCACUGCGAGGCUGGGACACCCUCCCUGUUCUGGGAGGAAAUGAAAAUUAGCAUUUUUGGAAACAGUAGUUAUUUGCUGCCAAGCUCCUGUUUACUUCCUGGUUUAUGCAGGGCUAUAAAUCAGGCUCCCCCAGGUGUGAGAGGAGUGUCACAUUUGGCCUGAGGAGGAAGAUGGAGCAGUGCUUUAUUUAAUAAACUGCAGUUUUCUCCCUUCAGCCAUGCAGCUCUGCAGUCUGGGGUGUCACACCCCACAGCCACCCUGGAGACAGUGUGCCUUCAGGUUUGGAAAUUCCUGUACUGUAUAUAAAACACUUGUUUAUUUUUAAUAAGCUGGAUGUUUUUUUAAAACCUUGUUCUUUUUUCAAACAGCGAAGAGAACGCAGUUGGACACCUUUGCACAAAAUUGGGUGUGAAACAGUUACACAGGGAAUAUUUUACAAAUUACUGUUUUGAGACAAUUGCUGGGUUAAUGCAAGGUUUUUGAGCUGUCAAGACAGCAAUAGCUGAUGUUGUGAGAGGGAGAGAAUUUACUGAUGCAACAAGAGGGACAUGAAAUUUCCUGAAUUUCUCAGUUUCAAAGGUUUCUGCAUUGCUGGAUAGUUGUUUACCUGAUACUGUUUUUUCAGGGUUGGAUUGAUUUAAUAAAGGUUAUUUUCUUUGUA